CGGCACCGGCUCCACCACCGGCUGGCUUAAAUGGAAGUUCUAGCAGUAGUGUUAGCUUGGUUAGCAGUGGUUGUAGCAGCAGCAGCAGCAGUGUAUUUUCGAGCUUAUUUACAUCCACUACUGUAUCUGCGAGCAUACACCCUCCUCAACCUCUGGCACCGGCUCCACCACUGGUUGGCUUAAAUGGAAGUUGUAGCGGUAGUGUCAGCCUGGUUAGCAGUGGUGCUAGCAGCAGUAGCAGUAGUGGUGUAUUUGCAAGCUUAUUUGCCUCCUCGACUGUAUCUGCAAGCAUACAACCUCCUCAACCUCCGGCUUUAACCAACUUAAUUCGAGCUGACCUAGCUCCAUCUACAUCAAUUGAACCAAUUUCUUUAUGCCUCUCGACCAGCCAUGGCUCGUCGAUAUUCGGAACUACAGGGCAAGAGCGUCGGCAGCAUGCACCGCCACUGCAAC
rnacentral:lncRNA from 1 species